GACGAACCGAGCGAACGUUGUUCGGAAUAACUGGGCUUAAAGGGCGCGUAGGCGGGCUGUCAAGUUUGGGGUGAAAUGCCACGGCUCAACCGUGGAACUGCCUCAAAUACUGACGGUCUCGAGGGAGGUAGGGGCGAGCGGAACUAAUGGUGGAGCGGUGAAAUGCGUAGAUAUCGGAAGGAACAUCAGUGGCGAAAGCGACUUCCUGGACCAGUACCGACGUUCAGGCACGAAAGCGUGGGGAGCAAACAGG
rnacentral:rRNA from 1 species